rnacentral:tRNA from 1 species
CAGACGUUGGCGCAGCUAGGUUAGCGCACCGCUCUGGGGGAGCGGGGGUCGUCGGUUCGAAUCCGACACGUCUGACCA